UACGGAGGGAGCGAGCGUUGUUCGGAAUUACUGGGCGUAAAGCGUAUGUAGGCGGCUUUGUAAGACAGAUGUGAAAUCCCAGGGCUUAACCCUGGAACUGCAUUUGUGACUGCAUGGCUUGAGUAUCGGAGAGGUUGGCGGAAUUCCCAGUGUAGCAGUGAAAUGCGCAGAUAUUGGGAGGAACACCGAUGGCGUAAGCAGCCAACUGGACGAUUACUGACGCUGAGAUACGAAAGUAUGGGGAGCAAACAGG
rnacentral:rRNA from 1 species